GACAGAGGUCUCAAGCGUUGUUCGGAUUCAUUGGGCGUAAAGGGUGCGUAGGUGGCGCGGUAAGUCGGGUGUGAAAUUUCGGAGCUUAACUCCGAAACUGCAUUCGAUACUGCCGUGCUUGAGGACUGGAGAGGAGACUGGAAUUUACGGUGUAGCAGUGAAAUGCGUAGAUAUCGUAAGGAAGACCAGUGGCGAAGGCGGGUCUCUGGACAGUUCCUGACACUGAGGCACGAAGGCCAGGGGAGCAAACGGG
rnacentral:rRNA from 1 species